UAGGUGAGGACACAGAACAAGGUGGGGGGGGGGGGUUACUCAAGGGGAGGAGAUGUGGUCAAGGUGAAGGACACAGGACAAGAUGGAGUCGGCAGGCGUAGGCCCUCCCUUUCAUCCCCCCCUCGUCAUGUAGCUUACGGACCC